AGCGAACGCUGGCGGCAGGCUUAACACAUGCAAGUCGAACGGUCGUAGCAAUACGGCAGUGGCAGACGGGUGAGUAACACGUGGGAAUGUACCUUUCGGUUCGGAAUAACGUAGGGAAACUUGCGCUAAUACCGGAUAAGCCCUUACGGGGAAAGAUUUAUCGCCAUUGGAGUAGCCCGCGUCUGAUUAGCUAGUUGGUGAGGUAAAAGCCCACCAAGGCAACGAUCAGUAGCUGGUGAGAGAACGACCAGCCACACUGGGACUGAGACACGGCCCAGACCCCUACGGGAGGCAGCAGUGGGGAAUCUUGGACAAUGGGGGAAACCCUGAUCCAGCCAUGCCGCGUGAGUGAUGAAGGCCCUAGGGUUGUAAAACUCUUUCGGCGGGACGAUAAUGACGGUACCCGCAGAAGAAGCUCCGGCUAACUUCGUGCCAGCCCGCCGCCGUAA
rnacentral:rRNA from 1 species